rnacentral:lncRNA from 1 species
AGGGAGUUGCUGAAGCUGCCUGGGUGAUCCCGGGUGGCACGGGCACGAACAGAGGCAUCGGGAUGAAGAGGAAGGAAAGAAAGGAUGGAGCUUCCCAAAUGGAAGGGGCCGGGAUUUUGGAGAUGCCCUGCUCGGGGUCCCUCGGGAGCCCUGGCAGAGGACGUGCAUCCUUAUCUCAACCUGUGCUGCCUGUUCUGCCACGGUGUCCUCACACAGCUCUCGGCAGCCCCAGCAGGCUGUGGGUCCAGAUUUGGGAGCAGGAGAUGCUUCCCUGCUCCCCUGCGUGCCCCAAACACCGCUGCCCCAAAUCCUGCUCUCUGCUCGCUGAUGCAACCGGAGCAAUGCUUGCAGCACAUUUGCUGCCACUGCGGUGGGUUGUCUGGAAUAAACCCGCUCAAACAAUCAUCACUUUGAUUCUCAACAAAAGAAAGGAGCCGGCUGAGUUAAAUGCCUCCCUUCUGAUGUUCUGUUUGGUUAUUUUGCUUUCAAGAAAAAUAAAUACCCCGUCGGCAUGUUUAUAGCGUCGAUUUGGUAUUGCAAACACAAGGCUAAACGGGAGAACAAGGCAGUUCAGGGAGAGAAGAGAAGAGAAGAGAAGAGAAGAGAAGAGAAGAGAAGAGAAGAGAAGAGANNNNNNNNNNGAAAUUCGCCCAACUCAGCCACCUCCUCUCAAGCAGAAUUGUUUCUUACAGUUUCUUACAGCCCCGUCCCCAGGCUGCCCCCAGCCCCUGUACCCCAGCAAAUUUUGGGAUUUGUUCCCGGCCAUCUCGCUUUGUGCCAUCACCGGCCUGUUGGCACCUCCUGCCCCAAAUCCAUAGGGACACCCCACUGGGGCUCACCCCAAAACCUCUUUUUUAGGUUGGUGUGGCCACGUGCACUCCCCCCGGUGCCCACCCCGAGCCCCCCAUCCCCACCCCAGCAUCCAGGGGGCUCCGGGGCCGUCGAUAGCGGCGCUGGCAAUCCCGGAGCACCACGGGGUGACGGCUGCUCUUCUUCCCUAGGGCUCGUGUGGAUGCGCCGGCAUCUCUGACAGCAUAAUCCUCUGCCUGGUGUCAUCAUUAUGGAAACAAGCUGUAAAUCUUCCCUUGAUGUUAUGUAGAUCCCGCAUCGCUUGCCUCACGGGAACAGCCAGCGUUAAGAAAUAGGGUGUCGAACAUAAAGAUUACCGUAUUGCAAGCACUAAUUUGGGGAGGGAGCUGUCUCCUCCUUCCCCCUUCUCAUCCCCCGGCAAAGCCAUCGAGCAGAGGAGGGGGGAGAGCACUGCGAAUUAAGGGACGCCGUUCGGCAAAGUCACUGCUUGGCGAUUUCCAUCAUGAUUUUGCUGACCCAUGGGCUCCUUUGCUCGCCGCUGCUCCCCGACCUGUCACCAUCACACCUGCUCCCGUUUCAUUUUGCUCAUCCCAGCCGACUCCACGGGUCGCUGCGGGUCGGUCCCGGCUGCUCCGAGUGCUUCCACUCGCCCCCUCUCCC